GUUUUAAAUGUCUUUUAUUAGUGUUUCUAGGUCACAAAAUAAACUUUUAAGAUAUUUUCAGGCGAGAAUGUAGGUGUGUAAACUUCAAAUAUCUGCUCGUUUUGUGAAAACAUCCCAUAUUAGCAAAGUUGUCUGACGAUGUUGCAGAUAGCUAGCUGGCUAGCUAGCUAGCGCCGCUAGCGACCCUUCCUGAAAAAGCACCCAGGCUUGGCUUAUAGUGACGCGGCUGAAACGCAUUUCAACACCCGCGUUUCAGAACGCGGAGGUCAAUCGUGGAUCAGGGAAAUGGGACUUAUUUUUCGUUUAUAUGGGCCGAUGAUGCUGGAAACCGAAGGCAGGAGCAUGAGGUGAACUGAAUUUCAGGUGAAGAGCCUGAGGCCGGUGACAGUCCAGUUCUACUCCAAGUACAUCCUUACGGUAGCUCACAGGACAAGGCGACAUUCCUGUCCUGCCAGAAGAGAAGAGAAACUUCAGAGUCUUCAUGCAGUUCAACCACACCUGUCAUAUUCCGUAUGACAGGGGUCUCAAACUCCAGUCCUCGAGGGCUCUAAUGGGAGGAAGACGAAGGCAACUCUUGAGUCUCUCACCUCCCACUACCCACCAAGAUGCCCGCAUGACCAACUCCACUGCCAUGAUAAAUGCCAGAGGGGAAAUUGUGCAGCCUGCCAUAAUUCCAAUUCCCAGGUGCUGCCAGGCUGUGGUGGUGUUCUCAGCUGUCACACAAAACUGUAAAUCCUGAAAGUAGGUCUUGACCAGUCCUGUGAUAUGGUUUGGUAUGCUGAAAUAUUUGAAAGCCGUCCACAAGAUCUCGUGCAGAACUGACC
ensembl:lncRNA